rnacentral:lncRNA from 13 species
AUGCAGGGACUUGGUGAACAUGUAUCCAAAAUAUUUAGUGGCCAAUUGGCCCCAAUCUUAAUCCAGAGGAGUCCUUGGAACAGCAAGGCAUGUGAGGAACUCAACAAGAAGGCAGCUUUUAGCUUCUGGAGAAUCACGUCUUACAGAUGUACCUUCAAUAUUUUGUAUGAAAUAUUGGGAAUUCCUAGAGCAUCAACCACAUUUAUUCCAAAGGAAAUGCCACAAUGUAUUCCAAACAUAAAUAUAAGUGAUUUUUGGAUUCUCUACUUUUGUUCAUCUCCAGUAGCUUAGAAUAUUGAGUCAACUACAUGUGAACUUCUUAUUCAUAUCUAAACAGAAUAUAGCCUCCUCUGAAUUAUUCAUGAUAAUUAUGGGGAAAGAGAAGAAAUGUCAUGAAUAAAUUAAAUUUAUAGAUGAACA